CCUACGGGAGGCAGCAGUGGGGAAUAUUGGGCAAUGGGCGCAAGCCUGACCCAGCAACGCCGCGUGAAGGAAGAAGGCUUUCGGGUUGUAAACUCCUUUUCUCAGGGACGAAGCAAGUGACGGUACCCGAGGAAUAAGCCACGGCUAACUACGUGCCAGCAGCCGCGGUAAUACGUAGGUGGCAAGCGUUAUCCGGAUUUACUGGGUGUAAAGGGAGCGUAGACGGCAAGGCAAGGCUGGAGGGAAAUCCCGUGGCCCAACCACGGGACUGGUGUGGAAACUGUGUGGCUGGAGUGCAGGAGAGGGAGGCGGAAUGCGUGGUGUAGCGGUGAAAUGCGUAGAUAUUGGGAGGAACCCCGGUGGCGAAGGCGGCGUACUGGACUAACACGGACGUUGAGGCACGAAAGCGUGGGGAGCAAACAGGAUUAGAUACCCCUGUAGUC
rnacentral:rRNA from 1 species